UGUUUUCUCACAACCACGAAACUGGCGAUGAACGCACAGGUGGUCAUAGUUGUUUUGAGGAGUAUCAAGAUGGCGGAUACCUGCUUUCGGGGGCUUCACCUUUGGUGGCUCAUGAGCCAUCCAGUUUUUUUUUUUUUUUUUGUUUUUUUUUUUAGAUCAGUGGUUCUUCGCAGAAGAUGAAGAGUACAGUACAUGCCUGUUUUCACCAAUGUGGUGGGGAAAAAAGGAGCCACAGCCGCCAGAUUUUCAGCUGUUUCUCGAAUACACGAGAGAACAAACUCAGCUGCUGUCGCCCGCCGCUCACGCCCGGACACUCACGCGGGCUCGACACCACCAGGAUUCACCUCUCGGAGGCGCGUAUGUAAACACGCAGAUGCAGGACGGCGAUGCGCACGCAGGGAAGAGCGACAGGAAGACGGCGAGGACUCUGCACACUUGAAGCGGCGAGUUUCUGCCUCUCUUCCCCAUAACCAUCCAUCCAGCUCGGGGUCGCCCUUCGCUCCUCUGCCUGCUUGAAAGGGGCGACACGGCGCGGG